rnacentral:misc_RNA from 1 species
AGCAGCCGCGGUAAUUCCAGCUCCAAUAGCGUAUAUUAAAGUUGUUGCAGUUAAAAAGCUCGUAGUUGAAUUUCGGGGUUAGCAGGUCGGUCGUGCCAUCGGUAUGAACUGGUCUCGCUGAUCCCUCCCUCUUGACGAACUGUGAUGCCAUUAAUUUGGUGUCGCAGGGAAUCAGGACUGUUACUUUGAAAAAUUAGAGUGUUUAAAGCAGGCUCACGCUUGAAUACAUUAGCAUGGAAUAAUGAAAUAGGACGUUUGAUCCUAUUUUGUUGGCUUCUAGGAUUGACGUAAUGAUUAAUAGGGAUAGUUGGGGGCAUUAGUAUUCAAUUGUCAGAGGUGAAAUUCUUGGAUUUAUUGAAGACUAACUACUGCGAAAGCAUUUGCCAAGGAUGUUUUCAUUAAUCAAGAACGAAAGUUAAGGGGAUCGAAGACGAUCAGAUACCGUCGUAGUCUUAACCAUAAACUAUGCCGACUAGGGAUCGGAUGAUGUUAAUUUUUAAUGUACUCU